rnacentral:snoRNA from 1 species
UGGCUGGUGAUGAAAAACCUAUUAAUCAUACCAUCUUUCGGGACUGAUCGGUCACUAUGUAUGUGUCCAUGCUGUCUUUCUGCAAUUCUGAAGCCA